AGAAGAAAAGCAAUAAAAAGAAACCAAAAAAAAACAAAAAGAUGUCAAAUAUGAUCUCUUUGAAGAAUUUGCAAUUCUUCUGCAUUUUG
rnacentral:ribozyme from 1 species